AUGGAACCUCUCAAGGGGAGUGCAGGUGCUCGGCGGGCCGCAGGGAAGGGACCCACACCCCGUCCUCCGGGCGGGCACUGGCGUUUUCCAGUCUCCCAAGACCAUUUUACGGACGAGGAAACGCGUCGUCAGCUCCCUUCAGCAGCUGAUGCAGCCAGACCGACGGAGCCUGCUUUACGACCGGUGGCCCUGUUGACUGCACCCGGAGGCUGCAAUGUCCCCAGCUUCCCGCAGGCCCGGAAGAGCCGCUCAGCCCAGAGUUCCUUGAUUGACCGUCCAGAGUGAGCCCGGAAGGGCGCCCGAGCAAGGAGAAAACAACUCACACCACGUUCCCCCACCCCCGGCCGGGCCAGAGCCCUGCCCUUGCCCCAUGUAAUGUGCAUCUGCUGUAUACCCAGGCCCAGGUUAGGCCCUUUCCUAGGCGGACUUGGGGAAACCUGAAGGUUGGGGGUGGGAGGGUGGUGAGUUCACUAAAUUAAGUUCAGAAGCUGAUUUGCUUUGCUUUUGUUUUUCUUUUGGCCAACCUCCAGCACCAUCAUUCAGCCAUUCCAUCACCCUCUGUGGAGCACCUACUGUGUUGUGUGCAGGGCCUCUGUGGUAGGCCAGGGUUUUCCACCAUCCCUCAUCACCUCCUCAGUUGAUGCUCCCCUAUGGGCCAGGAAAUACCCACCACAAUGAAGAAGUCCGCUUUAGGCUGAUGUCACAAUUUCUCCUUUAGGUCGACCCCCUUUUCUGUUUUUACUUAAGUAAAUAUAUUUCAAAAGGGAAACUUAAUGUCACCACCAAGAAUGGAAAACCAGUUUAUCUUGCCAUAAAUAGAAAGAAAUUGAAAAAACGAUGAAAUGAGAGCAAAACCCAGGAAUUCCUUCCUCGGGGACACUCUGGGCCAGGCCCAGAGCGGGAAUGUCUAAAUAUCCAGAAAGCGUUAAAAGCAGGGAAGCCCCAAGCCAAGCCAAAGAAGGGUGCAGGAGAGGCCACGGGAAUCCACUUUGUGGUUUUGUUUCUGAGGGCCCCAGCACACAGUAGGUGCUCAAUAAUGUGCCAAGCCUUGGCAGUGAGCACCUACUAUGCGUGGGGUUUACCUGCAUCCACCAGCAUCCUUUCAGGGCCUUCGAGUUUAUAGACCCAUUUCCAGGGUCACAAAUGAAGGUGGUGGUGGUGGCAGGUAGCAGGGACCCCACAGGGCCUCUCUGGGGAGACUUCAGUUUGGUUCAGAUAAAUGGAAGCUCCCCGCUUCCGCCUCAAGACCUUGGGGCUGUCCCCACCCUCAGUCCUGUGGCUCCUGACAGGCUUCUGCAAUGAACUAUGGGCCCCUGACGUCCUGCUCAGGCUGCCCAGGGAUUGGGGGGGGGGAGGGGGGCGGAAUGUGUACAUCAAUGAAUAUGAAUUAAAUAAGUAAAUGAAUUAAUGAGUGGAUGGUGUAAUGGAUGAUUUGACGAUGUAAUAAAUGGAUGAGUGAAUUAAUGGAGAGGAUGCAUCCAUGUGAUCAAAAUGGGAAACCCACUCCCCACAUUUUUCCUUAAUAUCCCCACACCAGCACUGCAAGGAGGGACAUCUGUUCACAUUUUUCAGAGGGACAAACUGAGGUUCUGAGCAAAGCGUGGCUCCCUGCCCCCCAUUUUCAGAGGGCAGAUUGGAAUACAGGCAGCCUGCUCUCUGUGAGCUGCAGGACAGGGGGGCGAGUAAGAGAGCGGGGGCCCAGUGGGGGAGUAGAUGGAAUGGGGGCCAGGCAGGCAGCAGACAGCAGGGAAGCGGUGGUGGCUGGGCCUCCAGGGCGGGAGGAGUAGCCAGAGUCCCAGUUGAUUAGGAAAGGUUCCAAGGAAAGAGUAGGUUUGGGGGGCCUCCCAGCACUCACGGAGACACACACCAGCCCUGCGUCUCGCGGGCGUGGGGAGGCAGAGACACCCCUCCCAACACUCAGAACCUGAGGCCACCACCGUGUACUCCCUCGCUCGCCGCUUCCCCCCUUCCCCGCCACCGCCUCUCCUCGGGAGGAAGUGGUGAGGGUGCGGGGGAGGGCCCCCCAUUCUCACUUCCCCUGGGGCAGGGCGGGGCCUACAGGGUCCCCUCCCCCGCCGCGAUAGGGGGGCGACGGGAGUGGGGGCUGGGAGCCCCAAGAGCCAGGGCUCGGCCCGGGGCGCUGCGGCCCCUCGUUGGGUGACCUCUCUAAGUUCUCUGGGUUUCGAUGGUUCUCAUCUGAAAAAUGGGGGGAAGAAACUGGACCUUGAAACAAUGGAUUGCUGGGGGAGAGGACCCCGCCCCACCCCCGAGGAGACAAGCCGGACAAGGACACUCCCAGGCCCGGAGGGGUCACGGCCGGGCCGGAGGGAGAGAGGUCGCUGUAAACACGACUUGGACCGGGGCGGGAGGCGCAUUCCAGGCGGAGCGAACGGCGCCGGCGAAGGCCUGGAGGCUGCUCGGGACCUCCCGCCUCGCGGGGCGGCCGGGCCUGCCCGGGAC
rnacentral:lncRNA from 1 species